GUUUGAUCCUGGCUCAGAACGAACGCUGGCGGCAUGGUUAAGACAUGCAAGUCGAACGGACUUAAGAAUAGGGUAACCAACGCUUAAGUUAGUGGCGAAAGGGUGAGGAAUAGGUAGGUAACGUACCCAGAUCUCCGGGAUAGCGUCAGGUGCUUGCACCUUUCCGAAAGGGGCGGUAAUACCGGAUAAAGUCCUUAAAUUCAAGUUUAAGGACCAAAGAUUUAUCGGUUCUGGAGCGGCCUAUCUCCUAUCAGCUUGUUGGUGAGGUAAUGGCUCACCAAGGCUACGACGGGUAGCGGGACUGAGAGGUUGGCCCGCCACAUCGGGACUGAGACACUGCCCGGACCUCCACGGAGGGCUGCAGUAACGAAUAUUGGGCAAUGGGCGAAAGCCUGACCCAGCAAUGCCGCGUGUAGGACGAAGCCCUUCGGGGUGUAAACUAUUGUCAGGGGUUAGAAAGUCCUCGGAUUGAUCAACCCCAGAGGAAGUCACGGCUAACUUCGUGCCAGCAGCCGCGGUAAUACGAAGGUGGCAAGCGUUGUUCGGAAUCACUGGGCUUAAAGCGCGCGUAGGCGGAAAAGAAAGUGUCUUGUGAAAUCCCACGGCUUAACCGUGGAAUUGCUUGGCAAACUUCUUUUCUUGAGGCAGAUAGGGGUGAGUGGAACUCUUGGUGGAGCGGUGGAAUGCGUAGAUAUCAAGAGGAACGCCAAAGGAGAAGUCAGCUCACUGGAACUGUCCUGACGCUGAGGUGCGAAAGCGUGGGGAGCAAACAGGAUUAGAUACCCUGGUAGUCCACGCCGUAAACGAUGCCUACUAGGUUGCGGAGGUUCUGACACCUUCGCAGUCGGAGCAAAAGUGUUAAGUAGGCCGCCUGGGGAGUACGGUCGCAAGGCUAAAACUCAAAGGAAUUGACGGGGGCUCACACAAGCGGUGGAGCAUGUGGAUUAAUUCGAAACAACGCGCAGAACCUUACCUGGGUUUGACAUGCUUGGAUGCCUCCCCCGAAAGGGGGUUUGGCUGCCUUCGGGUAAAACUUGCACAGGUGCUGCAUGGCUGUCGUCGUCUCGUGUCGUGAGAUGUCGGGUUAAGUCCUUUAACGAGCGAAACCCCUGCCGUUAGUUGCCAGCGAGUCAUGUCGGGGACUCUAACGGGACUGCCGGUGUUAAACCGGAGGAAGGUGGGGAUGACGUCAAGUCCUCAUGGCCUUUAUGCCCAGGGCUUCACACGUGCUACAAUGGUCACUACAGAGCGACGCGAGACCGCGAGGUGGAGCAAAUCGCAAAAAAGUGGCCUCAGUUCGGAUUGCAGGCUGACAACUCGCCUGCAUGAAGUUGGAAUCGCUAGUAAUCGCGUAUCAGCGAUGACGCGGUGAAUGUGUUCCUGAGCCUUGUACACACCGCCCGUCAAGUGAUGGGAGCUGGGAGUACCCGAAGUCGGAUUGCUAACUUUCGAGAGGCGUCUGCCGACGGUAAGCUCGGUGACUGGCACUAAGUCGUAACAAGGUA
rnacentral:rRNA from 1 species